rnacentral:misc_RNA from 1 species
GCACCAAACAUGACUCAAGUGAGUAAAUGUUAUAUAUUGCCCAAAAUUUUGAGCUGCAAGUAUCCUACUUCAUGCACUGUAUUGCGAUUAUUUAUUGUUAUCGUAACCCCAGUAAGACUAAAUUGAUAAUAUGCAUUCGACAUCUUCCCGAAGGAUCAUCUCUUGCUAGAAAAAUGUACAGGAUUUCUUCAUAAGCGGUAAGUGGAGUUAAGCAGGUUGGAGGCAUACCCAUUUAAUCCUAUGUAAUUUACUGUCAAAAUGCUAUUAUUCAAACACACAUCAAAAUACUGAAUUUCUUCAAAUCUAUUUUGUCCGGUAUUCCUCACUAAAAUACAGUUUUGAUCAACAUGUGGUGUAUUGACUGUUUUAACCCUUUUUUCCCUUUAAUUGCAGAUGUCAGAUCCGUUAACUGCAUUG